AGCGCUUGUACACGGAAGCCUGGGAUGCAGACAAGAAGUCCAUCCAUGUCAUGCCUGACACACCAGACAUUCUGCUAGCAAAGGCCAACGCAGCCAAUGUUAGCAAUAAACUUUAUGUACAAGCCUGGGAAGAGGCCAAAAAGAAGGGUUAUGACAUGAGAGCUGAUGCAAUUCCAAUCAAAACUGCAAAAGCAUCAAGAGAUAUUGCGAGUGACUACAAGUACAAAGAAACCC